AGAGGAGGCAGGUAGCCUAGUGGUUAGAGGAGCCAGGUAGUCUAGUGGUUAGAGGAGCCAGGUAGUCUAGUGGUUAGAGGAGGCAGGUAGCCUAGUGGUUAGAGGAGGCAGGUAGCCUAGUGGUUAGAGGAGCCAGGUAGUCUAGUGGUUAGAGGAGCCAGGUAGUCUAGUGGUUGGAGGAGGCUGGUAGCCUGGUGGUUAGAGGAGGCAGGUAGCCUAGUGGUUAGAGGAGGCAGGUAGCCUAGUGGUUAGAGGAGACAGGCAGCCUAGUGGUUAGAGUGUAGAGGAGACAGGUAGCCUAGCGGUUAGAGGAGACAGGCAGCCUAGUGGUUAGAGGAGACAGGCAGCCUAGUGGUUAGAGGAGGCAGGCAGCCUAGCGGUUAGAGGAGACAGGCAGCCUAGUGGUUAGAGGAGGCAGGCAGCCUAGCGGUUAGAGGAGGCAGGCAGCCUAGCGGUUAGAGGAGGCAGGCAGCCUAGCGGUUAGAGGAGGCAGGCAGCCUAGCGGUUAGAGGAGGCAGGCAGCCUAGCGGUUAGAGGAGGCAGGCAGCCUAGCGGUUAGAGGAGGCAGGCAGCCUAGCGGUUAGAGGAGGCAGGCAGCCUAGCGGUUAGAGGAGGCAGGCAGCCUAGCGGUUAGAGGAGGCAG
ensembl:lncRNA